CGGUAAGGCCCCUUCGGGGGUACACGAGUGGCGAACGGGUGAGUAACACGUGAGCAACCUGCCCUUGACUCUGGAAUAACAGUUGGAAACAGCUGCUAAUACUGGAUAUUCAUCGUCUCCUUCCUGGGGGGUGGUGGAAAGCUCCGGCGGUCAGGGAUGGGCUCGCGGCCUAUCAGCUUGUUGGUGAGGUAAUGGCUCACCAAGGCUUCGACGGGUAGCCGGCCUGAGAGGGCGACCGGCCACACUGGGACUGAGAUACGGCCCAGACUCCUACGGGAGGCAGCAGUGGGGAAUAUUGCACAAUGGGCGCAAGCCUGAUGCAGCAACGCCGCGUGCGGGAUGACGGCCUUCGGGUUGUAAACCGCUUUCAGUAGGGACGAAGGGUGACUGACGGUACCUACAGAAGAAGGACCGGCUAACUACGUGCCAGCAGCCGCGGUGAUACGUAGGGUCCGAGCGUUGUCCGGAAUUAUUGGGCGUAAAGGGCUUGUAGGCGGUCCGUCGCGUCAGAAGUGAAAACUCAGGGCUUAACCCUGAGCCUGCUUUUGAUACGGGCGGACUAGAGGGAUGCAGGGGAGAACGGAAUUCCUGGUGGAGCGGUGGAAUGCGCAGAUAUCAGGAGGAACACCGGUGGCGAAGGCGGUUCUCUGGGCAUUACCUGACGCUGAGAAGCGAAAGCGUGGGGAGCAAACAGGCUUAGAUACCCUGGUAGUCCACGCCGUAAACGGUGGGCACUAGGUGUGGGGGACAUUCCACGUUCUCCGUGCCGAAGCUAA
rnacentral:rRNA from 1 species